rnacentral:rRNA from 1 species
UACAGAGGUCUCAAGCGUUGUUCGGAUUCAUUGGGCGUAAAGGGCGCGUAGGCGGGCCGGCAAGUCAGGGGUGAAAUCCCACGGCUCAACCGUGGAAGUGCCUUUGAUACUGCCGGUCUGGAGGGAGGUAGGGGCGUGCGGAACUUCCGGUGGAGCGGUGAAAUGCGUAGAUAUCGGAAGGAACACCGGUGGCGAAAGCGGCGCGCUGGACCUCCACUGACGCUGAGGCGCGAAAGCCAGGGGAGCAAACGGG